rnacentral:rRNA from 1 species
UCCGUCCCCCACUCGCGGGAGCCUUUGCAGCUGGAGACAGUAAGCCCGGCGACUCUAAACAAUGCGGUGCCUCGUGCAAGUCGGCUUUCGUGGCCGGCGACACUUUCGAAUUGCGGGAAACUCCUAAGAGCCCUCCACACCAAGCCAGCCCGGGAAACCGGCUGGUGGCCCAUUGGAAACCAUGGGGUACGGUAACAGUGGGAGGGAUGAUCCGGCCCCUCGCCAGAGGGGUGGGUGAAAUGGACGAUCCGCAGCGAAGCCCCUUCUGCCCUUCCGGGGGCAUGGGGAACGUUCACAGACUAAGCGGAAGUGGGUGGAGCGUUGGAGCUCUGCUUAAGAUGUAGUCGGGCCCACCGGGAAAUCGGUGGGAUGAUGAAAACGUUCCGUAGGUGAACCUGCGGAAGGAUCAUUACCGAGACGUGAUCGGGGGGGGAUUCGUCCCCCUCCAGAGAUCGUAUCACCACCCUUCUUUACACGUACCUGACUUCUUCCUCGGCGGGGCGACCCGCCGACGGAACGUUCGAAACCCUUUUUUUUAUACAAGCAGUACCGUUCCGAUGAAAAAUACAAUCGUUACAAUCUUCAACAAUGGAUCUCUUGGCUCUGGCAUCGAUGAAGAACGCAGCGAAAUGCGAUAAGUAGUGUGAAUUGCAGAAUCCAGUGAAUCAUCGAAUCUUUGAACGCACAUUGCGCCCCUCGGUAUUCCGUGGGGCAUGCCUGUUCGAGCGUCAUUUCAAGACUCAAGCUCUGCUUGGUGUUGGGCGUCUGUCCGCGCACUUCCGCGCCAGGACUCGCCCCAAAGUCAUUGGCAGCCCAGGCCGUCCGACCCGUCCGCAGCACAUUGCGUCGGCGGGUUCGAACGCGGCCUCCGCGUCCAGCAAGUUCCUCUUCUCAAGUUGACCUCGAUCAG